rnacentral:rRNA from 1 species
UACGUAGGGUGCAAGCGUUAUCCGGAAUUAUUGGGCGUAAAGAGCUCGUAGGCGGUUUGUCGCGUCUGCUGUGAAAACUGGAGGCUCAACCUCCAGCCUGCAGUGGGUACGGGCAGACUAGAGUGCGGUAGGGGAGAUUGGAAUUCCUGGUGUAGCGGUGGAAUGCGCAGAUAUCAGGAGGAACACCGAUGGCGAAGGCAGAUCUCUGGGCCGUAACUGACGCUGAGGAGCGAAAGCCAGGGGAGCAAACGGG